UGUCUGGAACGUGACAUUCAACAGUAUGGCUCUAUUAAAGAGAACCUUUCAAGAGUACUUCCCUCUUCCACCACUCAGGUGACAGAACAAUCUCCAGGUAGAGGCUGUUCUGGCAUCAUGCUCUGAAAUGAUCCAGAUGUGCAAACCAGGUUACCUCUGAACAUGAAACCAGGGAGCUCCAAAAAUAUAUCCAUCAGGAGAUGCAGAAAUACAUGGCGAGACAUCUGUGAAGUUGGUAUUUUUUUCUUGAGCUUAUAUUAAUGGUCCCCCACCAACGCAACUCCCUUGAAUUGGAUUCCAAAUAUUGCUGAAACUAAAGCAGAAGAUGAAGAAAACCAGGAUGUUAACCUAACAGAGUGGCUGUACUGAGCAUUGGGUUAGGAUACCAGCAGACUAGGCUUUGAACUCCUGUUGGUCAUGGAAACUCACUGGGUAACCUUGGACAAGUCUAACCCUCUUAGCCUCUGAACAAAUCUUGCAAAGAAAACCUUAGGGUUGCCAUCAGUCAGAAAUGGCCUGAAGCUGUGCAACAAUAGCAGCAAAAUCUCAAGACCACACUCUGGAAGAAGAGGGUCUCCUAUGGAUUUUUAUUACACCAGAUAGCGUCAGCAUUAUGCGUUAUGGGGAUGGACAGAACCGCUGGAAGAAAUUGGAGGCACCUUGACAAACUUCUUUUUCUUGUCAUAACUGUGAGGUUUUGCCUCUGUUCUAGCUAGAGCCUGGGACUAGUGGUAGGUAACAUAACUUUGCAUCUAGUGACAUAUUGUUCUAGG